rnacentral:rRNA from 1 species
UACGUAGGGUGCUAGCGUUGUCCGGAUUUAUUGGGUUUAAAGGGUGCGUAGGCGGCCUGUUAAGUCAGUGGUGAAAUCCAACAGCUCAACUGUUGAUGUGCCAAUGAUACUGACAGGCUUGAGUACAGACGAGGUAGGCGGAAUUGACAGUGUAGCGGUGAAAUGCAUAGAUAUUGGCAAGAACACCGAUAGCGAAGGCAGCUUGCUAGCCUGUAACUGACGCUGAGGCACGAAAGCAUGGGUAGCGAACAGG